AGAACCAGAUGGACUUCCUCUCUAUUCCAACAUAAAAUAUUGAUGAGCCCAAUCUUCCACAGCCUUAAUCGCAGCUGUAGCUCAUGGGCACAACUGCCACGGCAUGUCAGGAAAUAGUUUCCCAAGAAUUCCACGGACUUGAUAUUAUAGUGCCGUGUACUGGAAACACAUGAGAAUGUACCUACUUAUUUCACUUUAAUUUUUUUUAAUUUACUCAAAAAUUUAGAACAACACAGUACAUCUUAGUUUGGAUGAGUCAUAUCUGAGAAGCAACCAUACUUAAUCCCGCAAGAGGAUACGAAACAAAAUCAGCUUGGAUGGUACCUUCUGGAACUAUGAACAUGAAUCAGCAGCCUCCUUCCCACUUUCACGUUGUUGUGUGGAUACUGGAAGUCGUCUAGUGGUUUGCCAAGCUCAUUCUCCGAGAUGGACAAAAACUGGACACUCAGGAAAGACAGAAAGUCAAGCACCAGAGAAAGACAAAGUUGCUUCUCUAUUGCUUUGGGAAGGAAGGAGCUCCGUAGCUGUAAUUCAGCUAAACAGGCCCUGGCUUGGAUGUUUUAUAGGGUUCCUGAAUCCUCUCCUUUCCCUUAUCGGUCCAGUUCAGAUUCCCAUCUUCAAUGUCUUCUGUCUAAGGGAGACUUCUUUUGCUUUCCGUGUGAUAGUUUGAAUGAGAUGUUCACAACAGUUUAGAGCAUUUGAUGACUUAGUCAACAGUUGGAGCUACUGUUUAGGUAGGAUUAGAUGUGACUUUGUUGGAGGAAGUCUGUCACCGGGGGCAUGCUUUGAGGUUUCUAAAGCCAUACACUGUUACCAGUUUGUUCUUUCUGCUUUAGUUAUAGCCCAGGAUGUUCUCUCAGCUACUGUGCCAGGAGCCAUGCCUGCCUGCUGUCAAAGUUCCUACUGUGAUGGUAAUGGACUCUUAUGUCUCUGAAACCAUAAGCCCAAAUAAACCCUCCCUUCUAUUAA
rnacentral:lncRNA from 1 species